AUGCGAAAUAUGCUGCUCCUCAGGAGCAAAGAUGACCCGCCCAGCCCGCGCACCCAGCCUGUUCACAACUGCGACCCAUCAGGUCCACUUGGACACCGCCGGAAACGGAAAUUCACCGCCGCGCCGACCCUCCGGAGGGAAACAAAAAGGCAGAAAAAAAAAGACCGGCGCCUGGACGGCUUUCAGGGGAGAGCUGGAAGAAAGACUCGUGAACAGCUGAGUGCGGGCGUCGGCACCGUCUGCGCAGUGCGUUCCACCGGGUCCGCAUCCCUCACGAUUCCGCCCCACCCCGCCCUUGGAACCCGCUGCCUCAACUCCCGCGGUGGGACUCCGGAGCAGCAUAUCCGUUACAGCACUGAUGUGAGUGUAGAUGAAGUAAAAACUUUGGCUUCUCUGAUCACAUACAAGUGUGCAGUGAUUGGGGAGCGCGAACGAGGUCCGGCACCUGUGCUAGGUCACUCCCAGCGCAGGGCCACACUUGGGCCAUCCGAACAGCCCCUCCUCAUUUCAGGGGUCACCCUCCCCACCACCCAUUGGCCCACCGUGGCCGGAGACCAGCUCCCGAGGAAGGUGAUGGACGCCAAGAAGCUGGGCAGCCUGCUGCGGAGCGGGCCUGGGGGGCCUGGUCAUCGAUAGCCGCUCCUUACUGGAGUACAACAGCUGGCAUGUGCUCAGCUCCGUCAACAUCUGCUGCUCCGAGCUGGUGAAGUGGCGGCUGCAGAAGGGCAAGGUGACCACUGUGGAGUUCAUCCGGCCGGCCACACGCAGCCAGGUGGAGGCCACAGAGCCACAGGACGUGGUGGUCUAUGACCAGAGCACACGGGACGCCAGCGUGCUGGCUGCAUACAGCUUCCUCUCCAUCCUGCUGAGCAAGCUGGACGGCUGCUUCGGGCAGCGUGGCCAUCCUCGCAGGGGGCUUCGCCACCUUCUCCUCCUGCUUCCCUGGCCUCUGCCAGGGCAAGCCUGCUGCCCUGCUACCCAUGAGCCUCUCCAUCCCUGCCUGCCCCUGCCCAGCGUGGGCCUGACCUACAUCCUGCCUCACCUCUACCUGGGCUCACCGAAAGACGUCCUGAACAAGGAUCUGAUGACGCAGAAUGGAAUAAGCUACGUCCUCAAUGCCAGCAACUCCUGCCCCAAGCCUGACUUCAUCUACCAGAGCCGCUGCAUGCGGGUUCCCAUCAACGACAACUACUAUGAAAAGCUGCUGCUCUGGCUGGACAAGUCUGUCGACUUCAUCUAUAAACCCAAGCUGUCCAGCUGCCAAGUCAUCGUCCCCUGUCUGGUCGGCAUCUGCCACUGUGCAACCAUCGCCAUCGCCUAUAUCAUGAAGACCAUGGACAUGUCCGCCAACGACGCCUACAGGUUCAUGAAGUACCGGCGCCCGUCCGUCUCGCCCAGCUUCAACUUCCUGGGCCAGCUGCUGGAGUAGGAGCGCAGCCUGAAGCUGCCGGCCGCCCCCCGGGACGAUGAGGGCACCCCCUCAGGGACGCCAGAGCCUCCGCCCAGCCCUGCGGCCCGGGACCCCGCUGCCACGGCUGCCACCACCUACCUCAGAGAGCGCUGCCACCGGGAGUGCGUCUCCCAGGGAGGGCUGCCCGAGCCCAGGCGGGGAGCCCCCACACCCCCAGCCACCAGCGCGCUGCAGCAGGGCCUGCGUGGCCUGCACCUCUUCUCAGACCGCCUACAGGAUACCAACAGCUUCGAGCGCUCCUUCUCGCUGUACAUCAAGUUAGCGAACACCCUCAGGCUGGUCCCCCGACCCCGGCGAGGCCCCGAAACUCUGGAAGCUGCACAGCCCGUCGGGGCCGCGCUGAGCCUGCCCUCGCCCAGCCCGGGCAGCCCACUGCCCCGCCGGCGGCCCCAGGCCCCAGUCCCCAGUGGGCUGUGCCUUCCGUCUGCGCUCCCCAGCGCACAGCCUGGGCCUGAACUUCAGCAACGAGGCCCGGCAGACUCCGCUGCACGGCCUCUAGGCCCUGUCUGCACCCAGGCUGCCCGGCCCUGGCCUGCUGGCGGGCCCCGAAGCCUCGACGCCACCGCUCGACUCCCCGGGCAAGCAGUCGCCCGACAGGCCCUGGUGCAUCAGCCCCGAGGGCGCGCAGGGAGCAGGCAGAGUGCUGUUUGCGCCCUUAGGCAGGGCGGGCGCCCCGGGACCAGGGCAGGUCGCUGCUGCCGCGGGAGGCAGCAAGGACCGAGCCCCGGACGCUCUGACCGGUUGGCCCGAUGAGCUGGUCCCGGCAGUUCAAGUGCCGCAGCUGCCAGAUGGAGUUAGAGGAGGGCAUCACGGAGGGGCGCGCGCGCGCAGCGAGGAGCUGGCUGCCCUGGGCAAGCAGGCGAGCUUCUCGGGCAGCGUGGAGGUCAUCGAGGUGUCCUGACCCCUCCGCUGCCCUCGGCUCCGCCGCCCGCAGCCGGGCCCGUUACAAAUAUUUAUUAUAUGUAAUGCAAAGAAAGGUAAACGGUUUCACUGUGGUUUUUAUCGAGAAGUAAAUAUUUCUAUUGUUUAUUUAUUUAAGCUGUUCAUUCUGGCAAUGAUUUGGCAACAGUGCAGGUGGUCCUCGAGCUCUAUUUUUACUGUCUGGUAUUUAAACUGAAACACACGUUUCUAAGCAAUACAAGGCCACCUUCAGUCGCAAGCUGGGUGCCAGGCCUGGGGCCCCUUCCAGUCCCCCCGCCCCUGGAAACACUGCUGAUGUUUGCAUAGGCUGCCGAGCUUUCGUGCACUUUUUCACAAGAACAAGGUAAAAAAAGGAAAAAAAAAACCACACAAAAACGUAUUUGCCACAAACUGAGCCACAGAUCCCCCCUUCUUCUGCCACCCACCUCCCCUGCUCUCUCCUUUGGGGCUCUGCACCAAAGCCAUAGGUUGGGGAAGCAGGAACUGGUGUGCCCCAGAGAGAUGCGACCAGCCCUCUACCAGCUCCAAGCACCAAAUCUUGAUGGCAGGGAGGGCACCCCGCUGCCCGUUGCUCCAGAGCCGUUCCCUCUCGGGGGAGGACAGGCAUUGGGCCCCAUGGUGCCAGGGUGUUCAGAGGGGCUGAGGUAUAGAACAGAGUGUGUAGGGGUUUGGGGCAGGGGCUUCUGGAGCAUCAGAUGAGGUAGAGCCCAGGGGAGGAUGGGGUGUUAAUGCCCCCGACUCCUGCCAGAGCCCCAGUCCAGCCACUGAGUGGCUCAGAAAGGCCAUUCCCAGAGAGCUGCGGCCCUCCCUUCUCCUUUGCCCAUGCCCCCAGAGCUGCCUGCCGGGCAGGGUGGCACCACUGCAGGAGAGGAGCUUGGCCUCGGGGGGUCAGGCAGGAGGGGCCUGGCUAGCCAG